GCUGGGCAUGGUGUCACAUUCCUGUAAUCCCAGUGGCUUAGGAGGCUGAGACAGUAGAAUUGCUAGUUCAAAGCUAGCUUCAGCAAAAGUGAGAUGCUAAGCAACUCAGUGAGACCCUGUCUCUA
rnacentral:sRNA from 1 species